rnacentral:hammerhead_ribozyme from 1 species
AUCCAGAUGACGAGUUCCAAAUAGGCCGAAACGCGUGUCCUAGAU